rnacentral:rRNA from 1 species
CCGCAUGCAGUCGAGCGGAGUUGAUGAGGUGCUUGCACCUCUGAUGCUUAGCGGCGGACGGGUGAGUAACACGUAGGUAACCUGCCCGACAGACCGGGAUAACAUUCGGAAACGAAUGCUAAUACCGGAUACGCGAUUUGGUCGCAUGGCCGAAUCGGGAAAGACGGAGCAAUCUGUCACUGUUGGAUGGACCUGCGGCGCAUUAGCUAGUUGGUGAGGUAACGGCUCACCAAGGCGACGAUGCGUAGCCGACCUGAGAGGGUGAUCGGCCACACUGGGACUGAGACACGGCCCAGACUCCUACGGGAGGCAGCAGUAGGGAAUCUUCCGCAAUGGGCGAAAGCCUGACGGAGCAACGCCGCGUGAGUGAUGAAGGUUUUCGGAUCGUAAAGCUCUGUUGCCAGGGAAGAACGCUUGGGAGAGUAACUGCUCCCAAGGUGACGGUACCUGA